rnacentral:tRNA from 1 species
GGGGUUGUGGCUCAAUGGUAGAGCACUCACCUCGAAGGUGUGAGACCCUGGGUUCGAUCCUCAGCACCACA